rnacentral:rRNA from 1 species
GACGAACGCUGGCGGCGUGCUUAACACAUGCAAGUCGAACGGAAAGGCCCUGCUUUUGUGGGGUGCUCGAGUGGCGAACGGGUGAGUAACACGUGAGUAACCUGCCCUUGACUUUGGGAUAACUUCAGGAAACUGGGGCUAAUACCGGAUAUGAGCUCCUGCUGCAUGGUGGGGGUUGGAAAGUUUCGGCGGUUGGGGAUGGACUCGCGGCUUAUCAGCUUGUUGGUGGGGUAGUGGCUUACCAAGGCUUUGACGGGUAGCCGGCCUGAGAGGGUGACCGGCCAAAUUGGGACUGAGAUACGGCAGAGACUACUACGGGAGGAAGGAGGGGGGAAUAUUGCACAAUGGGCGGAAGCCUGAUGAAGCAACGCCGAGUGCGGGAUGACGGCCUUAGGGUAGUAAACCGCUUUCGCCUGUGACGAAGCGUGAGUGACGGUAAUGGGUAAAGAAGCACCGGCUAACUACGU